UGUUGUGUAAACGCGCGGUCUCAGCACAUCGUGUUCGUGGUUGCCGGCAGGAUUGUACUAACACACAGGCGCCAUAGUCGUCAUUUUGGUUUGGAUAUGUGCGUGUAGUCGCAACUGUUUCAAACACACACACACACAUUCACAGCACAGCUACCCAAGCAGACGAGCGGCUCGUCCAGAGCACACCAACACCAACGCCAAUGAACGCCCCUAGACUGGUUGGUGGUUGGGCGGCUUCGUUCGUUAGGUCGCCAUUUGUAUACCGCUCCCGUACGCCAGCGUUUGGGAGAGAUUGCCAACGAGAAGCUCUCCUUUCCGGCGGUAUGUUUGUGUGUGUGUGUGCGUGUCUCGGGGUUUUCAGUGGAUGUAGUGCUGGCCCCGUCGGUUUGUGUAUUCCGGUCAGUAAACAGCGGCCAUUCGUGCCGUUCGUAUCUCGCGCGCGCACUACAUUUUUUACAGUCGGCGUGUGCGUUGCCCUCGUGCGCUACCCCCUUCUUGCGCUACUGCUACUGGUUCCCGGUGCUUCCGGGGUUGCGUUUUGGGGAUAUUUGCCAUACAUUGUGUGUAUUGAGGGUUGUGCAAAGCCGAGCGGAAGAAGAAAAAGAAACAACCUCAACCAAAAUGCUGUCCCGUGCUGCUGUCCCGCGUGCGAAUCGUGCCGUGAGCACGGGAGCGGUGUGGACAACCCUUUGUGAAAGUGUUUGACGAGAAGUAAGAAAACCGUGACGACAUGUAAAUUGCACAAGUGAGUGUCAGGUGUGAAAGUGUGCUAUCUUCAAAUAUUACCGUAGUGAACAGAACGAAAAUUAUCCCAUUUUGAGUGUCGUGGUCUUACUGCAAUCCUUUCGAAAACGAGUCCUAUCCAAUCAACUGGUUGCGGCAGGGGUGGGCGGUGGGACGCAGAGUGAAGCACGUUAAUCAACUGCGGAGGCGCUUGCAGGCGCCCGCAAGGAGAUGAAAGUCACUACCGUGCGACGUGUUCUGCUCCGACGUAACUCGUGGGCAAGUACGUGCAACCGUGGCAGCAUCAGCGAGACGGUGAAUAGCGAACGUUUCGGUGGUUGUUGGAGCCGUAUUGUAGGAGGAGGGUGCACGGGACGCUUCAAAGCUGCACUCUGCGCCUCGGCCGGUGGAAGCUGCCGCAGCAGCAUCGACAGUAACAACGACACCGCAGCCGCCGACAUCGAACGGCCUAAGCAGCGCAAACAGUGCAGAAAAGUGGUGUUGGCAACAUCGCGACAACGACGCCGGCAUCGACACAAUAGUCAAUUCUUUCGGGAAGACAACGACCACGACGACGACGACACCGGCGAGUACCAUUGUUCCUGGGUGCAUUGUUCUUGCGCCACGCCACCUCAUCCGUUGGGCAGCAUUUGCUCGCCGUUGGUGGUAGCAGGGCGAACCGAAGCUAAUACGCAUCCGUACCGUUGUUCGAUUCAGCGCGUGAACAAACGUACGCCGCAGUCCCGUCAGCAGCCGAAGGUGCGUUGUUGUUCGUCCAGCGUUCUACGGACACGUUACGAGCGACCUCUAGCGUCUAGUAGGCGAAAACCGUCCCACUUAUCGGUGGUGCAACGUUAUCGUUAUCGCCUGUCCCGACGGAGGCUGCUGGCGGCAGGAGGGACACUCCAACAGCAAGGAAAGCGCUUAAACCAUUGUGCCAUUGCUUCAUCGGCGGUGCUAGUAGUGCGAUCGCCGUCCUCCUCGUGCGGCCGUUGUCGAUUCGAUCGUGUCUUUCGUAGACCCACCACCAUCUACUCCAAUGAUGGGCUACAUCAUGGGUUGUGCUUGUUUCAAAGGUAUGUGGAGAAAACAAUACCCAUCGAUUUUCCGUUAACGUAAGAAAAUAAAAAAUCGAUACAAAACACACCCACCCAUGCAAAAGAUGAAGGAAUGCCGCUCUGUCUCCGUGCGCUCGAGAGCACCGCGGCUGAUUGUGGUGUGUUUUUGUAUGGAUCUAGUUUUGCACGACCGUUGACGGGUAUAACUUGCUUUGUUGUUCAUGGCUGGCUGCUCUAUCUGUGGCUCACUUUCGCGCUCUCUCACUCUCUCUCUCUCGCUCCGUUUCAACAAUCGUGCCACGAGUGAGUUCUAUAGUAUGUUAUGAAAUAGUUGUGGAAACAGUAGCAAUAAAACUAAGAAUUGAACACGAACUUCCGCCGGUUCCACCAACGGUGAUGGAGGGAACAAGCGGUUGGUGAAUGUUUUAUCAAACAUUACAUCACUCCUCUACCAGCUGAGGGUGGCGAGAAAAGGCAUUCCAGUGCCUGGUUUCGUGUCCCACCGGACCAGCGUUCGUAAACAGUAACGUUUCUCGACAUUUCGAUUGAUUGAUGGGAUAUUUUCCAUUCCAAUGAAAAGUGUGCACAAACGGGGAAGGAGGGUGAACUGCAUGCCGUUUUCUACCUUCACUGUUUGGCACACUGACAGACAGACGACGACAGUGAGAGGAGGAAAGCAGGUGAAAACGAAAAUUCCAAUGCUAGCGCAGAAGCAAGAGAGGAGGAAGGUAAACGCACUGCAAACGUUGAAUUGAUGCUUUCCGAACAGGAGGAAACUAACUGCCAAAAAUAUGCUGAACUUGACAUGCAAACCCCCUCCCCCCCCCCCCCUUCAAGCACCCAGUGACGGAAUGUUUGUUUGUAAACAGAAAUAGAUGCACGUUCAUCUUGCACGGUCGCACUGAUUCGUGUGAAUGGAAUCGAAUCGUAACCGUUGGUAGGGUGGUAGAACGCAGGAUGGCAACAAAUGACGAAGGUAUAGAUAGGACGGUUUACGUUUCGCUGUAGAGAUGCGUAGGGCACUAUGUAAUCAAAGCUACCGACAGGUGGUGGGAAAUUGAGUCAUCGCAAGGUUGCUCUGUGUGUGCAAAACAAAAACAUGUAAACUAUAUUUGUUCGUAACCAAGAUCCAGACCGAUAUUUUUAGCAAGAAUCAGUCUGUAUCAAGCGACCCAGUACCCCCGGUGGGUGAUUGUUGGCGAAACACGUUAACCAGAUUAAUCAGAAGUGCGAGCGAGAGCGUUAUCCCGCUUCACGACAUUGAACCUUGCAGGUUGCUAAGUGAGCGCGCGCGCUACCUUGGCACUCACCGCAUCAGUGUUACUAGGGAAUUUCUAUUUUUAGUGUGAUUAUUUUCAGAACUCAAGUAACACCUUUUAACUGUCAAAAUACUACAGGGUGGUUUUGAGUCGACCCGGCGGUUGACACGCACUCUGUUGACAAUCAUACAGAGAGUGCACAAAUGUGUAGCUCAGUUCUCCGGACGGAAACAAAGAGAGAGAGAGAGCAAAUGAGGGGAGGCUACUCCAAGUAGCUCAAUUUAUUUUCUCUCUCGUUCUUUUGCUCCCUUUUACUGUUAAUGUUGUUUGUAAAUCGCUCUCAGAUUUUCAAUUUGAAUCAUUUUCCCCUCUCUCUCGCUCUAUUUCGCUCUGUUUAUUUUGCCACUCACCGAGCAGGCGCCGUUUGGGUUGGGACCACAGUGAGUGGCUGGGGCAACUUUCAUUGAACUUGUGUGAAGUUGAAUGUCCUUAUUCUGAUCUAGCUGUCAGUGGCAUACGUUUGAAGCACGUUUUGAACAAAAGGCUCUAACGGAAUGAACAAUUUCCUUUCUUGGCUCUAACGUCAAAUAUAUUAUUGUACAUUUUUGUUCAUUAAAAUAACGCCUCAAUAAAGACGAUAAGUAUGAUUUAUUGACGCAUGUACGCAAAUCAAUUUAAAGCUACC